rnacentral:lncRNA from 1 species
AUAAAUUAAUUACACAUUUUAACACUCAAAUUUAAGUUGCGUUAGUGGGUUGGUACUAAUAGUGGCAUUCUCGCAUCACGGACAGCUGCUGGCUUCAGCAGGUACACAAUUGUCUCCCUUGUUCCAUUGUAGAUGUUAAUAGUAAUGAGAUAAAGGAAAAUAAGCCAGUGAGGUUAUUACAGGGUCACCAUGGGUCGGUACUGACAGUGGCGUUGUCGUCUGACGGAUAGCUGCUGGCUUCAGCAGUUGCAGAGUUCUGUUGUGUUCCACUUUGUGCAAAGCUGAAAUGAUCUUACUACCCGAUGACUCUACAGGCCCAUUAUUGAUGCUGUACACUGCACUGUGUGCCCUCCCUGAGAACUUUCUGCUGAAAGUUGUGUGUCUUGUGGGAAGGAAGGCUGGAGACGGAGGUGUUAAAGAAUAUCAACACGAAGUAUGACGGGUUACCGUCCACCAAUGACACUUUCACAGCCACUUUAAACGAUCUGCAGCAAAAUCAAAAAUGUUGUGGUUGGAGAAACGUGACAAAUUUUGAGAUGACGGGAAACCAGUGGAAUAGAACUUUGUCAAACGGAAGUGCCGCCAUCAUACUGGAAGCGUGCUGUAAACCGGCCAACGAGACGGAGACGUUCAGAUGUGUUACAGCGCCCUCUGUUGACAACUCCUAUGUAAAUAAGUUUUUUGACACCCCGCAACAGACGGUGCUAGUAUGUUCAUGCAGAGACACAGGAGCCGGAAGUUUUGAACCCCAAUGGGCAUUAUAGUGAGACUGAUCUGCACGGAUACAUUUGGCUGACCUGCCUUACGGCUUCGGGACUUUUGGUUGGAAUUGUCCACCUCAGUGUACAACACGUACUAAAGUGUGGGAAGGAAAGCUGGACACGGAGGUGUUAAAGAAUAUCACCACUAAGUACGACGGGUUACCGUCCACCAAUGACGCUUUCACAGCCGCUUUAAACGAUCUGCAGCAAAAU